GUGCCAGCCGCCGCGGUAAUACGUAGGGUGCGAGCGUUGUCCGGAAUUACUGGGCGUAAAGAGUUCGUAGGCGGUUUGUCGCGUCGUGUGUGAAAUCCCGCAGCUCAACUGCGGGCUUGCAGGCGAUACGGGCAGACUUGAGUACUGCAGGGGAGACUGGAAUUCCUGGUGUAGCGGUGAAAUGCGCAGAUAUCAGGAGGAACACCGGUGGCGAAGGCGGGUCUCUGGGCAGUAACUGACGCUGAGGAACGAAAGCGUGGGUAGCGAACAGGAUUAGAUACCCUAGUAGUCC
rnacentral:rRNA from 1 species